AUUGAACGCUGGCGGCAGGCUUAACACAUGCAAGUCGAGCGGUAACAGGGGGAGCUUGCUCCCUGCUGACGAGCGGCGGACGGGUGAGUAAUGCAUAGGAAUCUGCCCGGUAGUUGGGGAUAGCCCGGGGAAACCCGGAUUAAUACCGAAUACGCCCUACGGGGGAAAGCAGGGGAUCUUCGGACCUUGCGCUAUCGGAUGAGCCUAUGUCGGAUUAGCUGGUUGGUGGGGUAACGGCCUACCAAGGCGACGAUCCGUAGCUGGUCUGAGAGGAUGAUCAGCCACAUCGGGACUGAGACACGGCCCGAACUCCUACGGGAGGCAGCAGUGGGGAAUAUUGGACAAUGGGGGCAACCCUGAUCCAGCCAUGCCGCGUGUGUGAAGAAGGCUUUCGGGUUGUAAAGCACUUUCAGUGAGGAGGAAAACCUGAUGGUUAAUAUCCAUGAGGCUUGACGUUACUCACAGAAGAAGCACCGGCUAACUCCGUGCCAGCAGCCGCGGUAAUACGGAGGGUGCGAGCGUUAAUCGGAAUUACUGGGCGUAAAGCGCGCGUAGGUGGCUUGGUAAGCGAGAUGUGAAAGCCCCGGGCUUAACCUGGGAACGGCAUUUCGAACUGUCAGACUAGAGUGUG
rnacentral:rRNA from 1 species